rnacentral:rRNA from 1 species
AGAGGACCGGAGUGGACGCAUCACUGGUGUUCGGGUUGUCAUGCCAAUGGCACUGCCCGGUAGCUAAAUGCGGAAGAGAUAAGUGCUGAAAGCAUCUAAGCACGAAACUUGCCCCGAGAUGAGUUCUCCCUGACCCUUUAAGGGUCCUGAAGGAACGUUGAAGACGACGACGUUGAUAGGCCGGGUGUGUAAGCGCAGCGAUGCGUUGAGCUAACCGGUACUAAUGAACCGUGAGGCUUAACCUU